rnacentral:rRNA from 1 species
UCGGGAAUUUUGGGCAAUGGGCGAAAGCCUGACCCAGCAACGCCGCGUGAGGGAUGAAGUAUUUCGGUAUGUAAACCUCGAAAGAAUGGGAAGAAUAAAUGACGGUACCAUUUAUAAGCUCCGGCUAACUACGUGCCAGCAGCCGCGGUAAUACGUAGGGAGCAAGCGUUGUUCGGAUUUACUGGGCGUAAAGGGCGCGUAGGCGGCGCGGUAAGUCACUUGUGAAAUCUCUGAGCUUAACUCAGAACGGCCAAGUGAUACUGCUGUGCUAGAGUGCGGAAGAGGCAACCGGAAUUCUUGGUGUAGCGGUGAAAUGGGUAGAUAUCAAGAGGAACACCUGAGGCGAAGGCGGGUUGCUGGGCCGACACUGACGCUGAUGCGCGAAAGCCAGGGGAGCAAACG